GUGCUUGCUUCAGCAGCACAUAUACUAAAAUUGGAAUGAUGCAGAGAAGAUUAGCAUGGCACCUGUACAAAGAUGACAUGCAAAUUUUUGAAUUAUUCCAUAUUUUG